rnacentral:rRNA from 1 species
GACGAACGCUGGCGGCGUGCUUAACACAUGCAAGUCGAACGGAAAGGCCCUGCCUUUGUUGGGUGCUCGAGUGGCGAACGGGAGAGUAACAUGUGAGUAACCUGCCCUUGACUCUGGGACAACUUAAGGAAACUGGGGCUAAUCCCGGAUAGGAGCUCCUGCUGCUUGGUGGGGGUUGGAAAGUUGCGGCGGUUGGGGAUGGACGUGAGGCUGGUCAGCCUGUUGGGGGGGUGGUGGCUUUCAAAGGCUUUGACGGGUAGCCGGCCUGAGAGGGUGUCCGGCAACGUUGGGACUGAGAUGCGGCCCAGACGCCUAGGGGAGGCAGCAGUGGGGAAAAUUGCGCAACGGGGGGAAGGCGGAUGCGGCAACGGCGCGUGCGGGGUGACGGCCUUCGGGUAGUGAACCGCUUUCGCCUGUGACGAGGCGGGGGUGACGGUAGUGGGUAAAGAAGCGCCGGCUAACUACGUG